rnacentral:tRNA from 1 species
AGCCCGGUGGUGUAGGUAGGUAUACGUGUCGUAUAUGACGCAAAACGGUCAAGCAUCUGGGGCCUUGAACCCCGUGACCACGGUUCGAAUCCGUGCCGGGCUA